CGUUAAUGGAGCCCGGAGACCAAAAAUAGCAGCAGCAGUGUGUGUCUUUGUCUGUGUGUGUGUGUGUGUGUGUGAGAUCUCGCUGCUAUGUCCCCCGUCCUGGGUGAGCUCUAAUAAUAGAGGAGGCCGCCUGCUCCUUUAAGAGUCUACUUGUUGAAUAGCCUACUCCACCACAACACAUUGUAACAAACAUGGUUAUCAAAGUAUUCCUCGCCUCUUCGUCGGGAUCCACCGCGAUCAAGAAGAAGCAGCAAGAUGUGGUCGGCUUCCUGGAGGCUCUCAAAGUGGAGUACGCUCCGCUGGACAUCGCCUGCAACGAGGAGAACCGCAUGUGGAUGAGGCAGAACGUCCCCGAGGAGAAGAAGCCCUCCAACGGCAUCCCGCUGCCCCCUCAGAUCUUCAACGAGGAGGGCUACUGUGGGGAUUACGAGACGUUCUUUGACGCCAAGGAGGACAACAUGGUGUAUGCCUUCCUGGGGCUGCCUCCUCCUCCUGGGUCAAAGGAAGCAGAGCAGGCCGACAAGGCGCUCAUUGUGGAGAACGGGACCCACGCUGAGGAAACCAAUGCCGAGGAGAGCCUUGAUGAAUCAAUAGAGGUUCCGGUGGAGGCGCGAAAUGGGAAUGAGGAGGUGGCAGAAGGAGAAACUGCAGAGGAGGAAGUCACGGAAGGAGACGAGGCCCCCGCAGACGAGGAGGAGGAGGCAGUGGAAGAAACAGACGAGGUCACAGAAGACACACAGGCCCAAGCAGAGGAGGAGGAAGAGGAACAGGAGGAAGAUGAUUUGCAGUCAGAGGUAACUGUGCGUCGGCGAUCGUCUCUGCCUGCGGCUCCUCCGUAUAGUCAUCAGCAGUGUGGGUUUGAUGGUGCACAGAUCAGGGAAGGCUGCUCCGGUUGGGUUGGGAUGGGCUUGGGUGCUGUUCCCACUCAUCUGUACACUCUUUAAUGUGCUCACUUCACCUUUCUUUCUUUCCCCUUCUAUCUUCUCUCUCUCUCCAUCACUCUACUCCCCUUUGUUUCCCAUCUCCUUUCUGCUAACAUCCUGUUCCUCAUUUCUUCCCAGUUUCUGUAGCUGCCUCCUGACAACCUCAACCAUCCCCACGUAGUUUCCAUUUUAAGUCAGAGGACUUUUCUAUAGCGCAUGCCUGUGGUGCUCUUUUGCUCCCCCACACAGCCGGCUGACCUGCUAUCUGUUAUUUACUUCUAGGAGGAAGAAGAGCUUCGGCAGCUUGAGGUAGAUUCACGUGAUGUUUCUUUAACCAGCCCCAAUCCUUCCUCAGUUUCCUUCAUCACUUCCCAGACUAUCAAGCAUUCCUUCAAAUUUUCUCUUUCACUCGAUAACUAGUAGACUCAGAAUAAGAUUCAGGACACCACUGUUGGCCAUACUAAGAGGUUUUGCUCGCAACCUCAAGUGUGUAUCGUCUCCACUCACAAAUGCAGUGACGAUUGAAAGCAUGACCUCCAGUGCCUGUCAUAAGAACAUAUCCAAUACAAGAAUCAAUUUUUAGAAAGGUAAUACUGCAAUAUACUGACUAAUUUAAAGUCCCUUUACUCAUAUAUGUCAUUAGUUUGAUACUGCAUUCUAGUAUGUGUGCAAUGAAUUUACAGUAUGUUCUCAAAGUUCUUCUGCAUCCCAUACACACAUCUCAGCAUGCACUUACACACAGGGGUGUCAUCUCUUCUUGGGGCUGGUCGAGACUAGUGUCUCGCUCCCUUUUUAAAGUUGUUUUUGACCCACACACUUUUACAGUUUCAGUAUGAUUGACUCACUAAAAAAAGUCUCUAAAAAGUCCUCAUGCUCUCCAGAUGAGAGAAUAUUGAUUCAGUUAUCUUUUUUGUUGGACAUAUAGGAAGACCUCCGGCUACAUUGAGCACCACACACUCAUGAAACCAGACCUAUGUGUUCGAUCACACAUUGUCUCUCACACUGACAGUAUUCCCUAGAGAAUUCGGACUGAACCAGAUCCCAGGAUUAAAAAACAACAACAAAACAACAAAAGUCCAGAUCCUAAAAUGUCCCUUUGUUUGAUGUGCUGUGUGAAAAGAGCUCCACCUCUCUGAAACAUUCCAGCCUCUGCCUGAUCUUCUGUCACGUAUGCUUCACUGCUUUGCUUCGCCUUCUUUCCUCUCUACCUCUCCAUCUAUUGUGUUGUUGUCCCACUUCUCUUGCAGGAGCAAGACAAACAAGGCUUUCUGUUGUUGUUUGUGGCGUCCUGUUUUUUUUUUUUAAGGCUGUAUAAAAUGUAGGGUUUAAACUGUCCUCCCUCUUUAUUUAGUCCCUCUCUCUCUGUGUUGCUGCAUGGAUUUGUCGGUUAUCUUACAUGGAGAUGCCUGAUGGUGUGCAGCAUGAGAAAUAUGACAAAAUGUUAAUUAAACGGAAGGUGGAUUUAGUGUGGUGACAAAAAUGCGAGUCCAUAUACAGACCACGAAUUACGUUGAUCUUCUUUCCUUCUGUGUGACAUUUAAUUACUAAACACAACACUGUUUUAUCUUCCGUAGGAAGAAGAAGAGGCUGAAGUACAAGAGGAGGAAGAGGCCGAGUAGUUGAAGCCAGAUGACCUUGUUGAUGCUGACUUGCUACUCUCCAG